AACAAACACAAUUGAAACGAGAAAGAAACGCGAAAAAUGCGCGAUUUGCACGAUUGCCAGUGUGUUUGAUUGUUUCGCUGCUGUGUGCGUGUGUUGCAAACCGUUAGCUGGUAGGUGGCAUGCGCGCCACCAAUAAACAGCAGUAAAAGCAAAAAUUGAGUGACUAAGCGCCGCGCAGAUUUGAGUGAAUGAAACGAGUGAAUUCGCCUACGCCAUUGGAAUACAUUCUCGUCGUUUUUGUUUAAAUUCUAGCGAGGGUGCUUGGUGAGGGGGGUGAUUAAAGCGCACGAUAACAACUCUUACUUAUGCCACUACCGCUGCUAUAACUGUGUAUGUGGGUGGUUUUGAUAGCUAGUACAAUUGAAAAUCUAUUUUACUUCACUUUAACUGCAAUUAGCAACGCCGACGGCGCGAAUUAAGAUUAUGCUGUAAGAAGUUAUCAUGUCAACGCGAGCGCAUUUUUUUAGCGAGGGGUCACCGGAAAUGGCGUAGCAAUGGCCGAGUUUAAAACAUUCUUUUGAAGAAUUUUAUCCGAGGACACAUAUGGGUUUCCUUAAGAAAAGAGAGAACGCAAUUAACACCAAACAUGAUUUUCCUGUUAAGCAAGAUAUUGUUGAAAUUUCUUUGAGACAAAUGGCGUCAGUCGUCCCUUAAUACGAAGUAUGACCCACAUACAUACAUAUCUCAUUUCUACACUAAGAUACAGUUUAAUAGAUAUAUGCAUAUAAAAGGAAUAAGAGAACUAAAAUUUUAUCAUACUAACAACAAAUUAUUAUAUCCGAUUCAAGCAGCCGUAGCCAAGGCUGCCGACGGCUAAUUACAAUUAAAGCGGAAGAACUUACGCUUAAAACCUAUCAAAUAUCAAGAAACAGCACAGCUUUUUUCUAAUCUUUUAAUAUAUCUACAAACUUAUAUUACAUAUUUAUUUAAAAAUAUAAAUGUAUAUACAAAUGUAUAUGUGGACUUUCUGUUCGUAAAUUGAAUUAUUGGAUAAAUAAGCUUUACAAUAACGCUUUAAUGUUUUUUGUUUUAUCAAUUGCAAACAGAUGUCAUGCAUAAGUAAUUUUGGGAAAUUUUUUUAACAACAAAAUCCUUGUCCCUAAAUGCUAGAGAAGUUUUAUGAUGAUAGAAGUGACCUUUUCGAUUUUCAUAAAUUCAAGUUAUGCCAUGAAAGCCUCAA